GACGGAGGGUGCAAGCGUUGUUCGGAAUUACUGGGCGUAAAGCGCGGGCAGGUGGCCCUUUAAGUCCUUUGUGAAAUUCCGGAGCUCAACUCCGGAUGUGCAUAGGAUACUGGAAGGCUAGAGACUGGUAGAGGCGAGCGGAAUUCCUGGUGUAGCGGUGAAAUGCGUAGAUAUCAGGAGGAACACCGGUGGCGAAGGCGCACAUCUGGCCCGAUACUGACGCUGAGGCGCGAAAGCUAGGGGAGCAAACGGG
rnacentral:rRNA from 1 species